GCUCCGGUGAGUGGCCUCUGCUGGACCGUGGAUCCCGGGCGGGCGUGCGGGCGGCAGCGUACGCGGCCUUCUACUCGCCCGGGUGUCCGGUGCCUCGCUUCUCCCUGGGACCCUGUCGUCAAUAUCGAGGCCUGCCAGUGAGCUUCUACCGCCAUGGACCUGUUGUUCGGGCGCCGGAAGACGCCAGAGGAGCUACUGCGGCAGAACCAGAGGGCCCUGAACCGUGCCAUGCGGGAGCUGGACCGCGAGCGGCAGAAACUAGAGACCCAGGAGAAGAAAAUCAUUGCAGACAUCAAGAAGAUGGCCAAGCAAGGCCAGAUGGAUGCUGUUCGCAUCAUGGCAAAAGACUUGGUGCGCACCCGGCGCUAUGUGCGCAAGUUUGUAUUGAUGCGGGCCAACAUCCAGGCUGUGUCCCUCAAGAUCCAGACACUCAAGUCCAACAACUCAAUGGCACAAGCCAUGAAGGGUGUCACCAAGGCCAUGGGCACCAUGAACAGACAGGUGCGCUUUUCCCAAUCUCCCUUCCCACUCCCACGACCCAUGGGGACCACACUCACACUCUGUCACUUCCAGCUGAAGUUGCCCCAGAUCCAGAAGAUCAUGAUGGAGUUUGAGCGGCAGGCAGAGAUCAUGGAUAUGAAGGAGGAGAUGAUGAAUGAUG
rnacentral:sRNA from 1 species